UACGUAGGGUGCAGGCGUUAAUCGGAAUUACUGGGCGUAAAGCGUGCGCAGGCGGUUUGCUAAGCGAUAUGUGAAAUCCCCGGGCUUAACCUGGGAACUGCGUUUCUAACUGGCAGGCUUGAGUGUGGCAGAGGGGGGUGGAAUUCCACGUGUAGCAGUGAAAUGCGUAGAUAUGUGGAGGAACACCGAUGGCGAAGGCAGCCCCCUGGGCUAACACUGACGCUCAUGCACGAAAGCGUGGGGAGCAAACAGG
rnacentral:rRNA from 1 species